CACGUAGGGUCCAAGCGUUGUCCGGAUUUAUUGGGCGUAAAGAGCUCGUAGGCGGCUUGGUAAGUCGAGUGUGAAAACUCUGGCUCAACUCAGAGACGACCGCACUCGAUACUGCCAUGGCUUGAGUCCGGUAGGGGAGUGUGGAAUUCCCGGUGUAGCGGUGAAAUGCGCAGAUAUCGGGAGGAACACCAGUAGCGAAGGCGGCACUCUGGGCCGGAACUGACGCUGAGGAGCGAAAGCGUGGGAGCGAACAGG
rnacentral:rRNA from 1 species